UUCUACAGCCAUACCACCCUGAAUAUCUGAAUAUGCCCAAUCUCAUCUGAUUUUGGAAGCUAAGCAGGGUUGGGCCUGGUUAUUAUUACUUGGAUGGGAGAAA
rnacentral:rRNA from 1 species